rnacentral:rRNA from 1 species
UACAGGGGGGGCAAGCGUUGUUCGGAAUUACUGGGCGUAAAGGGUCUGUAGGUGGCCAACUAAGUCAGACGUGAAAUCCCUCAGCUUAACUGGGGAACUGCGUCUGAUACUGGAUGGCUCGAGUGUGGGAGAGGAAUGCGGAAUUCCAGGUGUAGCGGUGAAAUGCGUAGAUAUCUGGAGGAACACCGGUGGCGAAGGCGGCAUUCUGGGCCGAUACUGACGCUGAGGAGCGAAAGCGUGGGGAGCGAACAGG